UUUAAUAAACUAACAUUCACUUUAAAAUGUAAAUCACGAGGUACAUACUACACUAUAAAAAGUAACUUGAAGUAAUCAUUGGAAGCUAACUGGAAGAGUUUAAGCCCACCCAAAGGGGAACCGAAUUCGAAUAUUCUAUUCUAAUUUUCAAAACAGUCAUAAUAUGACUUAAAAACUGAAAAAAAUAAUGAUAAGUCGAACUAGGAAUAAUUUUGUAUUUUUAGGCCCUAAUAGUUGUAAAAGAACCUGUUCUGGUAGGUACCUACUGGUACUUUCAUCCAAAUACUGAACAGAAUCUUUUUUAUCUAUUUUCGAACUAGUCGUAAUCAAAAAUAUUAUUUUGAAAGUAGUCAAUGAGGCGGGACCAUAAAGCGACUUUAGAGAAGA